rnacentral:rRNA from 1 species
UACGUAGGGUGCAAGCGUUAUUCGGAAUUACUGGGCGUAAAGCGUGCGCAGGCGGUUCUAUAAGACAGAUGUGAAAUCCCCGGGCUCAACCUGGGAACUGCAUUUGUGACUGUAGAGCUGGAGUACGGCAGAGGGGGAUGGAAUUCCGCGUGUAGCAGUGAAAUGCGUAGAGAUGUGGAGGAAUACCGAUGGCGAAGGCAGCCCCCUGGGCCAAUACUGACGCUCAUGCACGAAAGCGUGGGGAGCAAACAGG